GAAUGACUUUUUCACCCAAAAGUGCUUUUCUCUUAAGGAACCAAGAAUAGGCUCCUUUUCUCUUAAAAUUUCUCCAUCAGAAAAGUGCUUCUCUCUAGAUGGAGAAGCUAAAAAAUUCUCCUUUUCUUCUACUAGAACUGCUUUUGGAUGAAAAUUGACCAAAUUAACCUGUCUUCUCCCCCAAACGUUUUCCCCCUCUGCUGGUUCCCUAAAUGUUCUUUCCCCUCUGCUGGUGAAAUUGGAGCUUUAUACCCGAUUUCUUUUCCUCAUUUUCGGCUUUCAAAGCUCUAUUUUCUGUUCUUUGUUCCUCUUCCGCAGCAGAUUUUAUGGAAUACGAAGAUAUUAACUGGGCAUAUGAGAAUAUUAUUGAUUCAGAAAAUGUGCAUGGUUGAGAAAGUGAUGAUGACGACGACGACGAUGGUGAUGAUGACGGUGAAUCAAACAAUUCAAGUGGUUUUGAAAUGGAAUUAACAAGAGAUGCUAUAACUUCUAGUUUAAUGAAUUCACUUUAAAUUGUAAAUGCUAUUGUAAAAUUUUUAGUAUUUAUAUUUGAUAUAUAAAUAUUAUCCCUUUUUAAAA